rnacentral:rRNA from 1 species
GUGGGGAAUAUUGGACAAUGGGCGCAAGCCUGAUCCAGCCAUGUCGCGUGAGUGAUGAAGGCCUUAGGGUUGUAAAGCUCUUUCAGUAGGGAAGAUAAUGACGGUACCUACAGAAGAAGCCCCGGCUAACUUCGUGCCAGCAGCCGCGGUAAUACGAAGGGGGCUAGCGUUGUUCGGAUUUACUGGGCGUAAAGCGCACGUAGGCGGAAUGUUAAGUCAGAGGUGAAAUCCUGGAGCUCGACUCCAGAACUGCCUUUGAUACUGGCAAUCUCGAGUCCGGAAGAGGUGAGUGGAACUCCUAGUGUAGAGGUGGAAUUCGUAGAUAUUAGGAAGAACACCAGUGGCGAAGGCGGCUCACUGGUCCGGUACUGACGCUGAGGUGCGAAAGCGUGGGGAGCAAACAGGAUUAGAUACCCGGGUAGUCC